GAAACAAACGGGUUAAGCUGACUUGCCCAGAGUUACACAGCUACUAAGUGCCUGAAGUCGGAUUUGGAGGAUUCCCAGGCCAGUGCUCUGAUCCACUGGGCCACCUAGUUUAAGAAAUGCAGAAGGACAAAAAUCAAAACCAGAAGGGACCAAUUAACCAAGGUCCAGACAAGAUACAAAUUGGGCACUGCAGGUUUGCCUGACUUAAAUCUGGCCUGAUUCUUCUGACUAAAUGAGGAAGUAAUAACUUGAAGCAACUUGACAGAAAGUGCUUUUGCUAUCAAAGGACCUGAUUAGAAAUCCUGACGG